UAGGGAAUCUUCCGCAAUGGACGCAAGUCUGACGGAGCAACGCCGCGUGAGUGAAGAAGGAUUUCGGUUCGUAAAACUCUGUUGUUAGAGAAGAACAGCGCAUAGAGUAACUGUUAUGCGUGUGACGGUAUCUAACCAGAAAGCCACGGCUAACUACGUUCCAGCAGCCGCGGUAAUACGUAGGUGGCAAGCGUUGUCCGGAUUUAUUGGGCUUAAAGCGAGCGCAGGCGGUCAAUUAAGUCUGAUGUGAAAGCCCCCGGCUCAACCGGGGAGGGUCAUUGGAAACUGGUUGACUUGAGUGCAGAAGAGGAGAGUGGAAUUCCAUGUGUAGCGGUGAAAUGCGUAGAUAUAUGGAGGAACACCAGUGGCGAAGGCGACUAUCUGGUCUGUAACUGACGCUGAGGCUCGAAAGCGUGGGUAGCAAACAGG
rnacentral:rRNA from 1 species